CUAGUACCUUGUAGAUCUUGCUCCUCAUCCUUGGAUCUAGAUCUCUACUUCUAUAUCUUGAAAAAGAGAUCGCUGCGCGAACUCUUUUGCACAGAUCCGAUGGGAUCUGAAUCAGAUCACCAUGAAGAGAAGAAGAACAAUUCUUCUUCUCUUCUUCUCUCUCUUUUCUCAUCUUAGAUCUGAUUUCUAUUAGAUCUGGAUAUUGGGAUGUAAGGAAGAAAAGAGAUGGAGGCAUUAGAAGAGGAAGUUGGUGGUAAGAA
rnacentral:lncRNA from 1 species